rnacentral:rRNA from 1 species
CCUACGGGGGGCAGCAGUGAGGAAUAGUGGUCAAUGGGCGCGAGCCUGAACCAGCCAAGUAGCGUGAAGGAUGACUGCCCUACGGGUUGUAAACUUCUUUUAUAAAGGAAUAAAGUGAGGCACGUGUGCCUUGUUGUAUGUACUGUAUGAAUAAGGAUCGGCUAACUCCGUGCCAGCAGCCGCGGUAAUACGGCGGAUCCGAGCGUUAUCCGGAUUUAUUGGGGUUAAAGGGAGCGUAGAUGGGUUGUUAAGUCAGUUGUGAAAGUUUGCGGCUCAACCGUAAAAUGGCAAUUGAUACUGGCAGUCUUGAGUACAGUUGAGGUCGGCUGAAUUCGUGGUGUCGCGGU